UUUUGCAGUACGCCAGGUACAAGAUGCUACAGGGCGUGGCUCCCCCCAGAGACAAGAACGGGAAGAAGUGAUGGAAGAAAAGAAAUCCCCAACAUCGACAGCGUGGAUGAGCAGGAAUAGAAAUCAAUAGCCUGCCCAAACGCCGGCCGUAAUGCGAGUGCAGCAAUGCACCAGCCUACCCACGCGCCACCUGUGAAGCGAGUGCACCGGCCCGCCGCCUCUCUCCCUUUGGCGGCCAUUUUUGUCAGGAGCGCAUUGGCGACGCCGGGAACCGACGCCCAUGACGCUCGGCCUACUUCUCGGGAGCUGGGAUGUUGGGGAUUUGUGUGUGACACUUUAGAUUAAGACUAAACUUGUUACUAUUCAGAAGUAUUUAUGCGUGUAUAUAUAUAUAUAUGUGUGUGUGUAUGUGUGUGUGUGUGUGUGCUUAUUUAUUCAUAUAUUAUACAAGGUUUUGGUGAUAUUUUCACUUUUAUCCUUCGUAAAAAAAUUGUAAUGAAAGAUAUGAAAAUUGUACGUCUAUGUGGCAUGUGAGUGCGUACGUAUGUGCGUACAGAUCCAUUUGGCUUACUCAGCUAACCCGGAUUCACGGUGUGAGGUUCGUAUCCUCCUCUCCCCUCUCGCUCCUGACCUCAUCCUGCAACCUGUCCUCAGGACAGGUUGCAGGAUGUUCCUGAGACCUGCACCCACUCCUGUAACCUGCACCCUAACCCUGUAUCCUCUGCCUUGUUGUCCAGUUCCACGCAUCCGCACCGUGUUUCGCGUAUCCUCACCCCCGUUUCCUUCGAUCCUCUCCCGUGUUCCUCGCAUCCCCACUCCCUAAUUCCCACAUACCUAGACCUCUUCCCUCCAUUUCCCACCCUAGCUUAUCAAAUCCUUUCUCCUGUCUACCCAUUCAUGUUCCUUUCCCCAGGUCCACUACUGUCGUCUGGGGCUACACCCACCCACACACAUACAUACACAAACACACACACACACGCAUAUACAUAUUUGCUACAGGAAGUAUAUUACGUGUCUUAGCCUCCUGUACUUCUGGGAUUCCCUUUUAUGUUUUUGUUUAAUUUGGUUCCCUUCGUUUUAUGUAUUUUUUUUUUACACUUUAAGUAAAGGCUGUCACAGUUCACCUCAAGUGGCAUGUUGAUGUAGUCAGAUUUUAUCAUUGUAUUCUUUUAUUUAACUUUGUGUAUGUAGUUUUGGGUGAAUUUCACAUUCGGUAAUCAGCUGCAUCACCUUCGGUUUACUUGAAUUUAUCUUUUGAUUACCUUUUUCCUUAUCUAUAUACUUUUGUUUACUAAUUGGCAACUGUAGGUUUACCUUUUCGCGUUUUUGCAACGUGUUGUGGCGUUCUUUUAGCUUCGCCUGCGAUCUUUUUUGUUUUGAUAUCUUACGUAUGCAGCUGGUUAGCUUUCCAUAAUUUUAUGUUUGAUGUAUUUUACCCUAUUUUAUUGUCUUUUAUGCUUUCACUAAAGCCUAUUCAUAUGUUUCUAGUGGUCAACUGUGAUAUUAUUCAGAAUAACUUAUUAUAUAUUUUUCCACGUUAAAGAUGCUAACACUGUAAAAAAAAAAAAAAAUAAUAAAAAUGUUGCCAUCAUCAGAUUACUCGAAAGACAUAUUUUAUUUCCUGAGUACAGGGUUCGCAAACCCCUUGGAUUAUGAACAAAUAAAGUGUCAGCCCGA
rnacentral:lncRNA from 1 species